GAUGAACGCUAGCUACAGGCUUAACACAUGCAAGUCGAGGGGCAGCGCAGUGUAGCAAUACAUGGGCGGCGACCGGCGCACGGGUGCGUAACGCGUAUCCAACCUUCCCGUUACUCAGGGAUAGCCUUCCGAAAGGGAGAUUAAUACCUGAUGGUGUUUGAAUUCCGCAUGUUAUUCAAACUAAAGAUUUAUCGGUAACGGAUGGGGAUGCGUGACAUUAGGUAGAUGGCGGGGUAACGGCCCACCAUGCCUACGAUGUCUAGGGGUUCUGAGAGGAAGGUCCCCCCACACUGGAACUGAGACACGGUCCAGACUCCUACGGGAGGCAGCAGUGAGGAAUAUUGGUCAAUGGUCGGAAGACUGAACCAGCCAAGUAGCGUGAAGGAUGAAGGUUCUAUGGAUUGUAAACUUCUUUUAUACGGGAAUAAACCUCCCACGUGUGGGAGCUUGUAUGUACCGUAUGAAUAAGCAUCGGCUAACUCCGUG
rnacentral:rRNA from 1 species